GACGAACGCUGGCGGCGCGCUUAACACAUGCAAGUCGAACGGAAAGGCCUGCUUUCCCUUGUGGAUUGCGGGUACUCGAGUGGCGAACGGGUGAGUAACACGUGAGUGAUCUGCCCCCAACUUGGGUAUAAGCCUGGGAAACUGGGUCUAAUUCCCGAUAGGACUGCAGGGUGGUGCCUGUGGUGGAAAACGAUUUUCUAGUGGUUGGGGAUGAGCUCGCGGCCUAUCAGCUUGUUGGUGGGGUAAUGGCCUACCAAGGCGGCGACGGGUAGCCGGCCUGAGAGGGUGGACGGCCACAUUGGGACUGGGAUACGGCCCAGACUCCUACGGGAGGCAGCGGUGGGGAAUAUUGCACAAUGGGCGGAAGCCUGAUGCAGCGACGCCGCGUGGGGGAUGACGGCCUUCGGGUUGUAAACUCCUUUCGACCGCGAGGAAGCCACCUGGUUGGAAGGGUGGUGACGGUAGUGGUAGAAGAAGCACCGGCUAACUACGUG
rnacentral:rRNA from 1 species